UGGGGAAUAUUGGACAAUGGGCGAAAGCCUGAUCCAGCCAUGCCGCGUGUGUGAAGAAGGUCUUCGGAUUGUAAAGCACUUUAAGUUGGGAGGAAGGGCAGUAAGCGAAUACCUUGCUGUUUUGACGUUACCGACAGAAUAAGCACCGGCUAACUCUGUGCCAGCAGCCGCGGUAAUACAGAGGGUGCAAGCGUUAAUCGGAAUUACUGGGCGUAAAGCGCGCGUAGGUGGUUCGUUAAGUUGAAUGUGAAAGCCCCGGGCUCAACCUGGGAACUGCAUCCAGAACUGGCGAGCUGAAGUAGGGCAGAGGGUGGUGGAAUUUCCUGUGUAGCGGUGAAAUGCGUAGAUAUAGGAAGGAACACCAGUGGCGAAGGCGACCACCUGGGCUCAUACUGACACUGAGGUGCGAAAGCGUGGGGAGCAAACAGG
rnacentral:rRNA from 1 species